AAUCCUAUUUGGACGUUUCAUCUCUUGCGAUUCAUCACUUGAGUGUUUGGAUCUAGGAAUGUUCCUUGUACGACCACAAAGAAGAAGAAAUUGUGGGAAGAAUGGGAGAGCUUAAGAUUAGAUUUGCAUAUAUUGAGUAAAACUACCGAUGCAUGAGAAACAAAGAUGGAGCAGAUUCGAACAUUCAUACUCUUUAAGACAGUUGGUAGUUCGAUAUUGACCACCAGCUGGAGUGACGGUAACAUGUUCAAUAACUCCCCAUGAAUCUAUAGGAAAGACACGUUGAAUCCGUUGCAUGAGAGAUCGUUUGCUAGUAGCAUGGAUCUUGUUACCCUAAGAAAAACACAGUCAUAUUAGAUAGAUUUCUGACAUUAGUAAUACAAUGAAAGAAAGAAAUGUGUAUUACAAAACUUACCCAUUGAUCUGCUAAGACCAUCUCGAAAGUAUCACCUGCAAAAGGUGUGUUUUGCUUCCAUGAAUGUAAACAUUUCACUUGAAUUCUCCAGUUGUCUUUGAAUGGCCUGAGUUUUGUGAGAGGAACAAAUGUCGUCAUUUUAGACAUUUGCGGUUUUGUAUUUUUUUUUUAUAUAUGAUUUGGAGAAUAGAUGAUGAGAUAUAUAUAGUUGUGAUAGCAAAUGGGAUCCCGUUAGGUUAAUUCGUAAUAAUUAUAUGGUAAAUUUUGGUAGUUAUA